CUGAAUUUAAACUUUAAGUUCUAUGUUGUGUUGACAAUUGAUGAUCUUGAUGUGUUCACUUAACUAGAAUUUCUGAGUUAUGAUUAAAUUGUGCGUGGGUGGUGAAAAGGGCGGGCUUUCAUUGAGCAGGGGUGAGGGGGGAUGGCAGGUGGCAAGAUGGAAAAAAAAAGCAGCUAUUACUUUUAAUCUUGAAAGAAAAUCGUCUUUAAACCAUGGCAAAGUUUAAAGGUAUAUAAAAUGACCUGUCUGCACAUACAGCUAAGUUUUGUGUUCACAAUUAUGAAUCUAUAAUCUAUAAAUAUAGAAAAAAGUGGUAAACAAAAGAGGACUACUUUCCAUGGCGGAUGGAUAAUAUGCAGCGCUACCUGAUAACAACCUGUGAAUAGUGGCGGACUCUUUUUCUCAUCGAGUUGGAGCAGCAGGACCCCUAAAGGAGAGGAACUUUCCUACUGAUUUACCUUACCGAAGAUAUCUGCAAGAAUGGGCAUUUAAUGAAGUGGAAAUCUGAGUGCUGAGUUCGACAGAGUUGUCACCAAAAACCUGCUGGAGUCAUUUCUGGAAGGACGAGAUGCCACAAUGGCAAGUCUGUUGGAGCUCUACAAAGCUGGGGUGGCAUCAAAGAGGAGGUCAAACCUGAGCAGUGUUCUACAGUGUCUUCAACAGGAGGACACAAACCAACACAAAAGAACAGCUGCCUUACUUGAUCUGGCUGAGGAUUCGUCAGAUGUAAUCAGGAUGUGUGAUGCUCAUGGAGAAACCCUUGAUGAGAGGAAUGCAGGUUGGAAUGUUAAUUGGACAUGAGGAAUCUCGGCACGGUGCAUUUGCUCUCAAAAUCUUCAACGUGGCUGUGGUGGUAUAAGAGACAAUCAUUCUUCAUGACCUACAGGAUGUGCCCACAGGCUUCGCCAUGCUGAUGGGAGCAACAUACUGCCUGAACCUCCAGUACCCACACCACAUUGGGCCAAAUUAUAAUGUGGAAAUGUAUGAUACUUAACAACUUGUCUUUGGUGUGGUUUAGACAUUUUGGCUGGUUUUGUUAGCACAGCUGUUUUUUAAGCUGCUGUUUAACGUGGUUCAAAUAAAUGACUGCAAGAGC